CAGAGUUGCAAAACUCCCAAACCAUUGUGAACGUUACCUAUCCCGUUGCUUCGGCGGGCGGCCCGGGCCCCGUGCCCGGCGCCCCCCGGCCCCUCGCGGGCGCCCGCCGGAGGUAAACCAAACUCUUGAAUUGUAUGGCCUCUCUGAGUCUUCUGUACUGAAUAAGUCA
rnacentral:misc_RNA from 1 species